rnacentral:pre_miRNA from 1 species
AACCAGAGCAGACUGGUGUGGCCCAGGCAUCUCUGCGUGAGUAUCUCUCUGAGUGCCUCACUCUUAAGCACGACUAAGAGG